rnacentral:rRNA from 1 species
UGGCAGGUCAGCAUACUGCCGUGAAUACGUUCCCGGGCCUUGUACACACCGCCCGUCACACCAUGAGAGUUAGGAAUACCCGAAGCCUGUGAGCUAACUUUUAGAGGCAGCAGUCGAAGGUAGAACUAAUGAUUGGGGUGAAGUCGUAACAAGGUAUC